GACGAACGCUGACGGUGUGCUUUAGACAUGCAAGUCGAACGCGAAAGCCCUUCGGGGUGAGUAGAGUGGCGAACGGGUGAGUAACACGUGGGCAAUCUGCCCCUCGCAGGGGGACAACCGGAGGAAACUCCGGCUAAUACCCCGUACCGCUUGUGGGAUCGCAUGAUCUUGCAAGGAAAGGUAGCUUCGGCCAUCCGGCGAGGGAUGAGCCCGCGGUGCAUUAGCUAGUUGGUGGGGUAACGGCCCACCAAGGCGACGAUGCAUAGCUGGUCUGAGAGGAUGAUCAGCCACACUGGGACUGAGACACGGCCCAGACUCCUACGGGAGGCAGCAGUCGGGAAUCUUGCGCAAUGGGCGAAAGCCUGACGCAGCAACACCGUGUGUGCGACGAAGGCCCUUGGGUCGUAAAGCACUGUUGUUGGGGACGAAGGGCAAAGGGUUAAUAGCCCCUAGCCUGACGGUACCCUUCGAGGAAGCCCCGGCUAACUACGUGACAGCAGCCGCCGCGGUAAC
rnacentral:rRNA from 1 species